rnacentral:rRNA from 1 species
CCUACGGGAGGCAGCAGUGGGGAAUCUUGCGCAAUGGGCGCAAGCCUGAUCCAGCCAUGCCGCGUGAGUGAUGAAGGCCUUAGGGUUGUAAAGCUCUUUUAUCCGGGACGAUAAUGACGGUACCGGAGGAAUAAGCCCCGGCUAACUUCGUGCCAGCAGCCGCGGUAAU